rnacentral:misc_RNA from 1 species
GUCAAGUUCAAUACACGCUUGCUUCCUCUUUUGCUCUUUCUGAUUCCGCCACCGCCCUGCUUCUCCGGCCAUCUCUGCCACUUUUUCCGACCUUUCCCACUUCCAUUGAUAUCAGUUGCACUGAGGGCUUUUCAAAACUCCGGACACCAUGAGCGAGGUAUUCGAAGGAUACGAGCGUCAAUAUUGCGAGCUUUCUGCCAAUCUUUCCAGAAAGUGCACCUCCGCCAGUGCCCUAGACGGAGAGCAGAAGAAGCAAAAG